UACGUAGGGUGCGAGCGUUAAUCGGAAUUACUGGGCGUAAAGCGUGCGCAGGCGGCGCGUUAAGACAGGUGUGAAAGCCCCGAGUUUAACUUGGGAAUUGCGCUUGUGACUGGCGUGCUGGAGUGUGGCAGAGGGAGGUGGAAUUCCGACGUGUAGCAGUGAAAUGCGUAGAGAUGUGGAGGAACACCGAUGCGAAGGCAGCCUCCUGGGCCAGCACUGACGCUCAUGCACGAAAGCGUGGGGAGCAAACAGG
rnacentral:rRNA from 1 species